rnacentral:rRNA from 1 species
GCAACUCGCCUGCAUGAAGUCGGAAUUGCUAGUAAUCGUAGGUCAGCAUACUGCCGUGAAUACGUUCCCGGGCCUUGUACACACCGCCCGUCACACCAUGAGAGUUGGAAAUACCCGAAGCCUGUGAGCUAACUUAAAGAGGCAGCAGUCGAAGGUAGAGCCAAUGAUUGGGGUGAAGUCGUAACAAGGUACC